rnacentral:rRNA from 1 species
AGCGAACGCUGGCGGCAGGCUUAACACAUGCAAGUCGAGCGGGCAUCCUUGUGGUGUCAGCGGCAGACGGGUGAGUAACGCGUGGGAACGUGCCCUUCGGUUCGGAAUAACUCAGGGAAACUUGAGCUAAUACCGGAUACGUGCGAGAGCAGAAAGGUUUAUCUGCCGAAGGAUCGGCCCGCGUCUGAUUAGCUAGUUGGUGAGGUUACGGCUCACCAAGGCGACGAUCAGUAGCUGGUCUGAGAGGAUGAUCAGCCGCACUGGGACUGAGACACGGCCCAGACUCCUACGGGAGGCAGCAGUGGGGAAUAUUGGACAAUGGGGGCAACCCUGAUCCAGCCAUGCCGCGUGAGUGAUGACGGCCUUAGGGUUGUAAAGCUCUUUUCUCCGGGACGAUAAUGACGGUACCGGAGGAAUAAGCCCCGGCUAACUUCGUG